rnacentral:rRNA from 1 species
AAAAGGAUGUGGGAUUUCACAGACAAUUAGGAUGUUGCCUUAAGAAGCAGCCAGACAUUCAAAGAGUGCGUAAUAGCUCACUAGUCGAGAAACCUGCGCCGAAAAUUAUCGGGGCUAAAACACGACACCGAAGCUACGGAUUGAUAGUCAUAAGACAUCAGUGGUAGAGGAGCAUUCUGCAAGGACGAAGCGUAAUUGUAAGAGAGCGUGGACGAAACAGAAGAGAGAAUGCCGGAAUGAGUAGCGAGAUAGAAGUAAGAAACUUCUAGGCCGAAUAUCUAAGGUUUCCUGAGUAAAGCUAAUCUUCUCAGGGUAAGUCGGGGCCUAAGGCAAGGACGAGAGUCGUAGUCGAUGGAUAACAGGUUGAAAUUCCUGUACUGCAAGUAAUCAGAACUGUAGGGACGCAGGAGGAUAGACAAACCGGGGAAUGGAAAAACCCGGUCAAGCAUAAAGCUGUGAGCAGUAGGCAAAUCCGCUGCUUGUAGGUGAAAUGUGAUGAGGACUGAAAAAUAGUAAGGAAGUUGUCGAAUCCACACUGCCGAGUAAAGCUGCUAUUGUGUUACUUGUACCCGUACCGUAAACCGACACAGGUAGAUGAGGAGAAAUCCACAGGCCGACGGGAGAAGUGUUGUUAAGGAACUCGGCAAAAUGACCCCGUAACUUCGGGAUAAGGGGAGCCACCGCGAGGUGGUCACAGAAAAGAGGCACAAGCAACUGUUUAGCAAAAACAUAGGUCUAUGCGAAACCGUAAGGUGAAGUAUAUGGGCUGACGCCUGCCCGGUGCUGGAAGGUCAAAAGGAGAGGUCAGCGCAAGCGAAGCUUUGAAUUCAAGCCCCAGUAAACGGCGGCCGUAACUAUAACGGUCCUAAGGUAGCGAAAUUCCUUGUCAGGUAAGUUCUGACCCGCACGAAAGGCGUAAUGAUUUGUGCACUGUCUCAACAACACGCCCGGUGAAAUUGAAGAGCCAGUGAAGAUACUGGCUACCCGCAACAGGACGGAAAGACCCCAUGGAGCUUUACUGCAGAUUAAUACUGGGAUUCGAUGAUGUAUGUACAGGAUAGGAGGGAGACUAUGAGACUUGGACGCCAGUCUAGGAGGAGUCGCCGGUGGGAUACCUCUCUUAUAUCAUUGAAUUUCUAACCUGUGCCCGUAAUCCGGGCAAGGGACAAUGUUAGUCGGGCAGUUUGACUGGGGCGGUCGCCUCCUAAAGAGUAACGGAGGCGCUCGAAGGUCACCUCAGAAUGAUUGGAAACCAUUCAAAGAGUGUAAAGGCAGAAGGUGGCUUGACUGCGAGGUCGACGGACCGAGCAGGUACGAAAGUAGGACUUAGUGAUCCGGUGGUAAUAAGUGGGAAUGCCAUCGCUCAACGGAUAAAAGCUACCCUGGGGAUAACAGGCUUAUCUCCCCCAAGAGUUCACAUCGACGGGGAGGUUUGGCACCUCGAUGUCGGCUCAUCGCAUCCUGGGGCUGAAGUCGGUCCCAAGGGUUGGGCUGUUCGCCCAUUAAAGCGGUACGCGAGCUGGGUUCAGAACGUCGUGAGACAGUUCGGUCCCUAUCCGUUGUGGGCGUAGGAAAUUUGAGAGGAGCUGUCCUUAGUACGAGAGGACCGGGAUGGACGAACCUCUGGUGUACCAGUUGCAUACCAAAUGCACAGCUGGGUAGCCAAGUUUGGAAGGGAUAAACGCUGAAGGCAUCUAAGCGUGAAGCCCCCCUCAAGACGAGAUUUCCCAUUCU